UGCAGAAUCCCGCGAACCAUCGAGUCUUUGAACGCAAGUUGCGCCCGAGGCCACUCGGCCGAGGGCACGCCUGCCUGGGCGUCACGCCAAAACACGCUCCCAAUCACCCUCUUCAGGAAUUGGGAUGCGGCAUAUGGUCCCUCGUCUCGCAAGGGGCGGUGGGCCGAAGAUCGGGCUGCUGGCGUACCGCGUCGGACACAGCGCAUGGUGGGCGUCCUCGCUUUAUCAACGUAGUGCAUCUGACGCGUAGUCGGCGUGUUGGCCUAAAAAUGACCCAUCAAACGAAGCGCAUGUCGCUUCGACCGCGACCCCAGGUCAGGCGGGACUACCCGCUGAGUUUAAGCAUAUAAAUAAGCGGAGGAGAAGAAACUUACAAGGAUUCCCCUAGUAACGGCGAGCGAACCGGGAUCAGCCCAGCUUGAGAAUCGGGCGGCCGUGCCGUCCGA
rnacentral:rRNA from 1 species